AUUGAACGCUGGCGGCAUGCUUUACACAUGCAAGUCGGACGAGUGGCGAACGGGUGAGUAACGCAUCGGAACGUACCGAGUAAUGGGGGAUAACUGUCCGAAACGACAGCUAAUACCGCAUACUAUUCGAUCGGCCGAUGUCGGAUUAGCUGGUUGGUGGGGUAAAGGCUCACCAAGGCGACGAUCAGUAGCUGGUCUGAGAGGAUGAUCAGCCACACGGGGACUGAGACACGGCCCAGACUCCUACGGGAGGCAGCAGUGGGGAAUAUUGGACAAUGGGCGCAAGCCUGAUGCAGCCAUGCCGCGUGUCUGAAGAAGGCCUUAGGGUUGUAAAGGACUUUUGUCAGGGAAGCGGUACCUGAAGAAUAAGCACCGGCUAACUACGUGCCAGCAGCCGCUGUAAUAC
rnacentral:rRNA from 1 species